AAUGUAGCAAUACAUGGCGUACUGCUCAGUAACACGUGGACAACCUGCCCUUAGGUCGGGUAUAAACCCGGGAAACUGGGUAUAAUCCCCGAUAGGUCUCGGCUGCUGGAAUGCAUCGAGAUURAAAGCUCCGGCGCCUAAGGAUGGGUCUGCGGCCUAUCAGGUAGUAGUGGGUGUAGCGUACCUACUAGCCUACGACGGGUACGGGUUGUGAGAGCAAGAGCCCGGAGAUGGAUUCUGAGACACGAAUCCAGGCCCUACGGGGUGCAGCAGGCGCGAAAACUUUACAAUGCUGGCAACAGCGAUAAGGGAACCUCGAGUGCCAGGUUACAAAUCUGGCUGUCGAGAUGCCUAAAAAGCAUUUCAUAGCAAGGGCCGGGCAAGACCGGUGCCAGCCGCCGCGGUAACACCGGCGGCUCGAGUGGUAACCGUUAUUAUUGGGUCUAAAGGGUCUGUAGCCGGCCGGAUAAGUCUCUUGAGAAAUCUGGCAGCUUAACUGUCAGGCUUUCAGGAGAUACUGUCUGGCUCGAGGCCGGGAGAGGUGAGAGGUACUUCAGGGGUAGGGGUGAAAUCUUGUAAUCCUUGAAGGACCACCAGUGGCGAAGGCGUCUCACCAGAACGGACCUGACGGCAAGGGACGAAAGCUAGGGGCACGAA
rnacentral:rRNA from 1 species